rnacentral:rRNA from 1 species
GAUGAACGCUGGCGGUAUGCUUAACACAUGCAAGUCGAACGGACUCUUCGGAGUUAGUGGCGGACGGGUGAGUAACGCGUGAGAAUCUGGCUUUGGGUUCGGGACAACCACUGGAAACGGUGGCUAAUACCGGAUGUGCCGAGAGGUAAAAGAGAAAUUGCCUGAAGAUGAGCUCGCGUCUGAUUAGCUAGUUGGUGAGGUAAAGGCUCACCAAGGCAGCGAUCAGUAGCUGGUCUGAGAGGAGGACCAGCCACACUGGGACUGAGACACGGCCCAGACUACUACGGGAGGAAGCAGGGGGGAAUUUUCCGCAAUGGGCGAAAGCCUGACGGAGCAAUACCGCGUGAGGGAAGAAGGCUCUUGGGUUGUAAACCUCUUUUCUUAGGGAAGAACAAAAUGACGGUACCUAAGGAAUCAGCAUCGGCUAACUCCGUG